AAGUCGUAACAAGGUCUCCGUAGGUGAACCUGCGGAGGGAUCAUUACACAAAUAUGAAGCCGGACUGGGAUAGGGCCUCGCUGCCUUGCCCGUCUGGCGCCAUAUUCACCCAUGUCUUUUUGCGUACUACUUGUUUCCUUGGCGGGUCCGCCCGCCAAUUGGACCUUAUUCAAACCUUUUUUUUCAGUUGCAAUCAGCGUCAGCAAAACAAAUGUAAUCAAUUACAACUUUCAACAACGGAUCUCUUGGUUCUGGCAUCGAUGAAGAACGCAGCGAAAUGCGAUAAGUAGUGUGAAUUGCAGAAUUCAGUGAAUCAUCGAAUCUUUGAACGCACAUUGCGCCCUUUGGUAUUCCAAAGGGCAUGCCUGUUCGAGCGUCAUUUGUACCCUCAAGCUUUGCUUGGUGUUGGGCGUCUUGUCUCUCUCCCGAGACUCGCCUUAAAAUCAUUGGCAGCCGGCCUACUGGUUUCGGAGCGCAGCACAUUAUUUGCGCUCUUGUCCAGCCGCGGUCGCGCGUCCAUGAAGCUUCUUUCAACCUUUUGACCUCGGAUCAGGUAGGGAUACCCGCUGAACUUAA
rnacentral:rRNA from 1 species